rnacentral:lncRNA from 1 species
UGGAAAGUGAGGAGCAUCUCUGCCCGGCCGCCAUCCCAUCUAGGAAGUGAGGAGCGCCUCUUCCCGGCCGCCAUCACAUCUAGGAAGUGAGGAGCGUCUCUGCCCGGCCGCCCAUCUUCUGAGAUGUGGGGAGCGCCUCUGCCCCGCCGCCCCGUCUGGGAUGUGAGGAGCACCUCUGCCCGGCUGCGACCCCGUCUGGGAGGGGAAGAGCGUCUCUACCCGGCCGCCCCAUCUGAGAAGUGAGGAGACCCUCUGACUGGCAACUGACCCGUCUGAGAAGUGAGGAGCCCCUCCGCCCACAGCCGCCCCGUCUGAGAAUGGUCCUCCCGGGCACUGUGCUUCAGCCACAGGGCCUCUGAACAUGUGAUUCCAAAUGCCAGAAACAUCAGAUGUCACGCCAAAUCUCUUUUCUCAGUGAAACCUUCCC